rnacentral:rRNA from 1 species
GGGGGGGGGGGGGGGGGGGGGGGGGGGGGGCGGGGGGGGGGAACGGGGGGGGGGGUGGCGCCGGUGAGGUUAGCGGCUGACUGGGGGGGAACACAGGGAGAAGCUGCCUAGGAGCCUGGGAGAACUUCGGGAAACCGGAGCUAAUACCGGAUACUAUAUUGAACCGCAUGGGUCAAGAAUGAAAGAAGGUCUUGCUGUCGCUUAGACAUUGGUAGCCGCUGCAUUAGCUAGUUGCUACGGUAACGGCCUACCAAGGCAACGAUACGUAGCCAACCUGAGAGGGUGAUCGGCACAACUGGAACUAGGAACCGGUCCAGACUCCUACGGGAGGCAGCAGUAGGGAAUCGUCCGCAAUGGGCGAAAGCCUGACGGGGCAACGCCGCGUGAGUGAUGAAGGUCUUCGGAUCGUAAAACUCUGUUAUUAGGGAAGAACAAAUGUGUAAGUAACUAUGCACGUCUUGACGGUACCUAAUCAGAAAGCCACGGCUAACUACGUG